ACGCUGGCGGCGUGCUUAACACAUGCAAGUCGAACGGUGAACACGGAGCUUGCUCUGUGGGAUCAGUGGCGAACGGGUGAGUAACACGUGAGCAACCUGCCCCUGACUCUGGGAUAAGCGCUGGAAACGGCGUCUAAUACUGGAUACGAACCAUGAAGGCAUCUUCAGUGGUUGGAAAGAUUUAUUGGUUGGGGAUGGGCUCGCGGCCUAUCAGCUUGUUGGUGAGGUAAUGGCUCACCAAGGCGUCGACGGGUAGCCGGCCUGAGAGGGUGACCGGCCACACUGGGACUGAGACACGGCCCAGACUCCUACGGGAGGCAGCAGUGGGGAAUAUUGCACAAUGGGCGCAAGCCUGAUGCAGCAACGCCGCGUGAGGGAUGACGGCCUUCGGGUUGUAAACCUCUUUUAGCAGGGAAGAAGCGAAAGUGACGGUACCUGCAGAAAAAGCGCCGGCUAACUACGUGCCAGCAGCCGGGGUAAUAA
rnacentral:rRNA from 1 species